rnacentral:rRNA from 1 species
CAGCCGCCGCGGUAAUACGAAGGGGGCUAGCGUUGUUCGGAUUUACUGGGCGUAAAGCGCACGUAGGCGGACUUUUAAGUCAGGGGUGAAAUCCCGGGGCUCAACCCCGGAACUGCCUUUGAUACUGGAAGUCUUGAGUAUGGUAGAGGUGAGUGGAAUUCCGAGUGUAGAGGUGAAAUUCGUAGAUAUUCGGAGGAACACCAGUGGCGAAGGCGGCUCACUGGACCAUUACCGACGCUGAGGUGCGAAAGCGUGGGGAGCAAACAGGAUUAGAUACCCCCGUAGUCCCUGUCUCUUAUAU